GGUCAAGUGAAGAAGCGCAUACGGUGGAUGCCUUGGCAGUCAGAGGCGAUGAAAGACGUGGUAGCCUGCGAAAAGCUUCGGGGAGUCGGCAAACAGACUUUGAUCCGGAGAUCUCUGAAUGGGGGAACCCACCUAGGAUAACCUAGGUAUCUUGUACUGAAUCCAUAGGUGCAAGAGGCGAACCAGGGGAACUGAAACAUCUAAGUACCCUGAGGAAAAGAAAUCAACCGAGAUUCCCUUAGUAGUGGCGAGCGAACGGGGAUUAGCCCUUAAGCUUCAUUGAUUUUAGCGGAACGCUCUGGAAAGUGCGGCCAUAGUGGGUGAUAGCCCCGUACGCGAAAGGAUCUUUGAAGUGAAAUCGAGUAGGACGGAGCACGAGAAACUUUGUCUGAACAUGGGGGGACCAUCCUCCAAGGCUAAAUACUACUGACUGACCGAUAGUGAACCAGUACCGUGAGGGAAAGGCGAAAAGAACCCCGGAGAGGGGAGUGAAAUAGAACCUGAAACCGUAUGCGUACAAGCAGUGGGAGCCUACUUGUUAGGUGACUGCGUACCUUUUGUAUAAUGGGUCAGCGACUUAUAUUCAGUGGCAAGCUUAACCGUAUAGGGUAGGCGUAGCGAAAGCGAGUCUUAAUAGGGCGUUUAGUCGCUGGGUAUAGACCCGAAACCGGGCGAUCUAUCCAUGAGCAGGUUGAAGGUUAGGUAACACUGACUGGAGGACCGAACCCACUCCCGUUGAAAAGGUAGGGGAUGACUUGUGGAUCGGAGUGAAAGGCUAAUCAAGCUCGGAGAUAGCUGGUUCUCCUCGAAAGCUAUUUAGGUAGCGCCUCAUGUAUCACUCUGGGGGGUAGAGCACUGUUUCGGCUAGGGGGUCAUCCCGACUUACCAAACCGAUGCAAACUCCGAAUACCCAGAAGUGCCGAGCAUGGGAGACACACGGCGGGUGCUAACGUCCGUCGUGAAAAGGGAAACAACCCAGACCGCCAGCUAAGGUCCCAAAGUUGUGGUUAAGUGGUAAACGAUGUGGGAAGGCUUAGACAGCUAGGAGGUUGGCUUAGAAGCAGCCAUCCUUUAAAGAAAGCGUAAUAGCUCACUAGUCGAGUCGGCCUGCGCGGAAGAUGUAACGGGGCUCAAACCACACACCGAAGCUGCGGGUGUCACGUAAGUGACGCGGUAGAGGAGCGUUCUGUAAGCCUGUGAAGGUGAGUUGAGAAGCUUGCUGGAGGUAUCAGAAGUGCGAAUGCUGACAUGAGUAACGACAAUGGGUGUGAAAAACACCCACGCCGAAAGACCAAGGGUUCCUGCGCAACGUUAAUCGACGCAGGGUUAGUCGGUUCCUAAGGCGAGGCUGAAAAGCGUAGUCGAUGGGAAACAGGUUAAUAUUCCUGUACUUCUGGUUACUGCGAUGGAGGGACGGAGAAGGCUAGGCCAGCUUGGCGUUGGUUGUCCAAGUUUAAGGUGGUAGGCUGAAAUCUUAGGUAAAUCCGGGGUUUCAAGGCCGAGAGCUGAUGACGAGUCGUCUUUUAGAUGACGAAGUGGUUGAUGCCAUGCUUCCAAGAAAAGCUUCUAAGCUUCAGGUAACCAGGAACCGUACCCCAAACCGACACAGGUGGUCGGGUAGAGAAUACCAAGGCGCUUGAGAGAACUCGGGUGAAGGAACUAGGCAAAAUGGCACCGUAACUUCGGGAGAAGGUGCGCCGGCUAGGGUGAAGGAUUUACUCCGUAAGCUCUGGCUGGUCGAAGAUACCAGGCCGCUGCGACUGUUUAUUAAAAACACAGCACUCUGCAAACACGAAAGUGGACGUAUAGGGUGUGACGCCUGCCCGGUGCCGGAAGGUUAAUUGAUGGGGUUAGCGCAAGCGAAGCUCUUGAUCGAAGCCCCGGUAAACGGCGGCCGUAACUAUAACGGUCCUAAGGUAGCGAAAUUCCUUGUCGGGUAAGUUCCGACCUGCACGAAUGGCGUAACGAUGGCGGCGCUGUCUCCACCCGAGACUCAGUGAAAUUGAAAUCGCUGUGAAGAUGCAGUGUAUCCGCGGCUAGACGGAAAGACCCCGUGAACCUUUACUGUAGCUUUGCACUGGACUUUGAGCCUGCUUGUGUAGGAUAGGUGGGAGGCUUUGAAGCGUGGACGCCAGUUCGCGUGGAGCCAUCCUUGAAAUACCACCCUGGCAUGCUUGAGGUUCUAACUCUGGUCCGUAAUCCGGAUCGAGGACAGUGUAUGGUGGGCAGUUUGACUGGGGCGGUCUCCUCCUAAAGAGUAACGGAGGAGUACGAAGGUGCGCUCAGACCGGUCGGAAAUCGGUCGCAGAGUAUAAAGGCAAAAGCGCGCUUGACUGCGAGACAGACACGUCGAGCAGGUACGAAAGUAGGUCUUAGUGAUCCGGUGGUUCUGUAUGGAAGGGCCAUCGCUCAACGGAUAAAAGGUACUCCGGGGAUAACAGGCUGAUACCGCCCAAGAGUUCAUAUCGACGGCGGUGUUUGGCACCUCGAUGUCGGCUCAUCACAUCCUGGGGCUGAAGCCGGUCCCAAGGGUAUGGCUGUUCGCCAUUUAAAGUGGUACGCGAGCUGGGUUUAGAACGUCGUGAGACAGUUCGGUCCCUAUCUGCCGUGGACGUUUGAGAUUUGAGAGGGGCUGCUCCUAGUACGAGAGGACCGGAGUGGACGAACCUCUGGUGUUCCGGUUGUCACGCCAGUGGCAUUGCCGGGUAGCUAUGUUCGGAAAAGAUAACCGCUGAAAGCAUCUAAGCGGGAAACUUGCCUCAAGAUGAGAUCUCACUGGGAACUUGAUUCCCCUGAAGGGCCGUCGAAGACUACGACGUUGAUAGGCUGGGUGUGUAAGCGUUGUGAGGCGUUGAGCUAACCAGUACUAAUUGCCCGUGAGGCUUGACCA
rnacentral:rRNA from 1 species